rnacentral:rRNA from 1 species
UACGAAUGGAGCGAGCGUUGUUCGGAAUCACUGGGCGUAAAGCGUGCGCAGGCGGUCUUGAAAGUCAGAUGUGAAAGCCCAGGGCUCAACCCUGGAAUUGCAUUUGAAACUCCAAGACUAGAGUACUGGAGGGGUUGGCGGAAUUUCGAGUGUAGCAGUGAAAUGCGUAGAUAUUCGAAGGAACACCGAUGGCGUAGGCAGCCAACUGGACAGUAACUGACGCUCAUGCACGAAAGCGUGGGGAUCAAACAGG